rnacentral:rRNA from 1 species
CAGUAGCCACGGGAAUACGUAGGUGGCAAGUGUUGUCCGGAAUUAUUGGGCGUAAAGGGCUCGCAGGCGGUUUCUUAAGUCUGAUGUGAAAGCCCCCGGCCCAACCGGGGAGGGUCAUUGGAAACUGGGAAACUUGAGUGCAGAAGAGGAGAGUGGAAUUCCACGUGUAGCGGUGAAAUGCGUAGAGAUGUGGAGGAACACCAGUGGCGAAGGCGACUCUCUGGUCUGUAACUGACGCUGAGGAGCGAAAGCGUGGGGAGCGAACAGGAUUAGAUACCCCCGUAGUCCCUGUCUCUUAUAA